rnacentral:rRNA from 1 species
GUGAGGAAUUUUCCGCAAUGGGCGAAAGCCUGACGGAGCAAUGCCGCGUGAAGGAUGAAGGCCUAUGGGUUGUAAACUUCUUUUCUCAGAAAAGAAUUAUGACGGUAUCUGAGGAAUAAGCAUCGGCUAACUCUGUGCCAGCAGCCGCGGUAAGACAGAGGAUGCAAGCGUUAUCCGGAAUGAUUGGGCGUAAAGCGUCUGUAGGUUGUUUAAAAAGUAUUCUGUCAAAGAUUAGGGCUUAACCCUAGAUAGGCAGAAUAAACUUUUAAGCUAGAGUUUGGUAGAGGCAGAGGAAAUUCCCGGUGGAGCGGUGAAAUGCGUAGAUAUCGGGAGGAACACCAAAGGCGAAGGCACUCUGCUGGGCCAAUACUAACACUGAGAGACGAAAGCGAGGGGAGCAAAUGGGAUUAGAUACCCGAGUAGUCC